UACGUAGGCAGCGAGCGUUGUUCGGAAUUACUGGGCGUAAAGCGUGCGCAGGCGGUUUUGUAAGUCUGUCGUGAAAUCCCCGGGCUUAACCUGGGAAUGGCGAUGGAGACUGCAAGGCUAGAGUUUGGCAGAGGGGGGUAGAAUUCCACGUGUAGCAGUGAAAUGCGUAGAGAUGUGGAGGAACACCGAUGGCGAAGGCAGCCCCCUGGGUCAAAACUGACGCUCAUGCACGAAAGCGUGGGGAGCAAACAGG
rnacentral:rRNA from 1 species